rnacentral:rRNA from 2 species
UUGGAUUAAUACCCCAUAGUAUUUUUGACCGGCAUCGGUUGAUUAUUAAAGUUCCAACGGUACAAGAUGAGCAUGCGUCCCAUUAGCUAGUUGGUGUGGUAACGGCACACCAAGGCAACGAUGGGUAGGGGUCCUGAGAGGGAGAUCCCCCACACUGGUACUGAGACACGGACCAGACUCCUACGGGAGGCAGCAGUGAGGAAUAUUGGUCAAUGGGCGCAAGCCUGAACCAGCCAUGCCGCGUGCAGGAUGACGGUCCUAUGGAUUGUAAACUGCUUUUGUACAGGAAGAAACACUCCCUCGUGAGGGAGCUUGACGGUACUGUAAGAAUAAGGAUCGGCUAACUCCGUGCCAGCAGCCGCGGUAAUACGGAGGAUCCAAGCGUUAUCCGGAAUCAUUGGGUUUAAAGGGUCCGUAGGCGGUUUUAUAAGUCAGUGGUGAAAUCUGGUCGCUCAACGA